UGGAAAGGCUUGCUUUGGAGGUGCAGCUGAUCCCACCUAAUGCUCACCUGAAUUUCUUCCCGCCUGUGGCGUGGGCGUGAGAGUCUCCAGGGAAUAAACUGGAAGCCACAGCGGUCUGAGACGUAGCAAAUGGAACUUAUGGAGAACAGAGAGAUGCUCUCCGCGAGGGCUCCGCCGCAGCAUCGGGACUCGGAGAAGCGGCUCAGGGAGCGCGGUGCCCGGCGGGGGAGGCAGCAGCGCGUGGCUGGGCGUCAGCUCGCAGGUGAGGAAGGAGCCACCUCGGAGAGGCGCCUCGACCAGGUCAACUUUCGCACCUGCCCUGAACGUCUGUAGGGCUGUUGCUGGAGAAGGUUGCCGCUGCAAAGUAUACCGAACUAAAAAUGUGGGAGAGCGCUUGGCCCCCAUAGCAAGGCUGCACCCAAACCGGCCAAGCCUGUGCCCCCCGCAGAGCCGCCCCGCCAGGUGCUGUGGCACUGAGCAUCCCGCGCUACCCUGCUGCCUUUCUGUGUGGUGGAGCAGCCCUUGCGUUCUGUGCUCUCGCCACGUGCUUUUCCACAUUAUGCAAACAUGGAAGCAAAAGCAUGGGCAUUGACAGAUGAGUACUGUUUAUAUAAUUUGAAUUUUUUAGAAAAAUGUUUUUAUGUAG
rnacentral:lncRNA from 1 species